GACGAACGCUGGCGGCGUGCUUAACACAUGCAAGUCGAACGGUGAAGCGCCUUCCUUUUUGGUGGGUGUGGAUGAGUGGCGAACGGGUGAGUAACACGUGAGUAACCUGCCCCCUUCUUCUGGAUAACCGCAUGAAAGUGUGGCUAAUACGGGAUAUUCUGGGUCUGUCGCAUGAUGGGUCUGGGAAAGAUAUUGUUUCGGUGGGGGAUGGGCUCGCGGCCUAUCAGCUUGUUGGUGGGGUGAUGGCCUACCAAGGCGGUGACGGGUAGCCGGCCUGAGAGGGUGGACGGUCACACUGGGACGGAGACACGGACCAGACUCCUACGGGAGGCAGCAGUGGGGAAUAUGACACAAUGGGCGCAAGCCUGAUGCAGCGACGCCGCGAGAGGGAUGGAGGCCUUCGGGUUGUGAACCUCUUUCGCCAGUGAAGCAGGCCUGCCUCGUUUGUGGGUGGGUUGACGGUAGCUGGAUAAGAAGCGCCGGCUAACUACGUG
rnacentral:rRNA from 1 species